rnacentral:rRNA from 1 species
GACGAACGCUGGCGGCAGGCUUAACACAUGCAAGUCGAACGCAUGCCUUCGGGCAUGGGUGGCAGACGGGGGAGUAACGCGUGGGAACCGAGUCCUUGGUACGGGGUAGAUCCGGGAAACUGGAGAUAAUACCGUAUGUGUCCGGAGGGAAAAAGAGUAAUAGACAAGGGAUGGGACGGCGUCGGAUUCGAAGGUUGGUGGGGUAACGGCCUACCAAGGCGACGGUCCGUAGCUGGGAUAAGAGGAUGAACCGCUACAUUGGGGCUGGGACACGGCCCGAACUCUUACGAAAGGCAGCAAGGGUGAACAUUGGACAACGGGCGCAAGCCUGAUGCAGCCAGGUCGCGUGAGUGUUGAAGGCCCUAAGGUUGUGAAGCUCAUUCAACGGUGACGAUAAUGACGGUAACCGACGAAAAAGCCCCGGCUAACUACGUG